CUGUGUCUGUGUCUGUGACUGUGUCUGUGUGUAUCCUAAUACAGCCUAUUGAUUUUGUUUCUCUGGAGAAUCCUAACUAAUACAAGACCCAUCAAUGAAAUCACAGACAUUGAAGGGGGUAGGAGAAAGGGAUUAAAGAGUUUGAUAAAAAGACUUUGAAGAGAGAAGUUAUCUUACUGUGAGUCUCAGCUAAUUGAGAAAGGCCUCAAGGGUACCUCUCAGAGAGCUUUAAAAUGUGUUCUCUGCAUUGGGUGACACUGAGGAUGGGUGCCUGAGUCUGAUAAAGCUAAUGUGAACUAUGGACUGGAGUCUGACACCUGGUUCCCUUCCCCCCAGGGAAAUUUAGAGGCCAGAAGGGCUGACUGACCAACUGCUUCCCUGGAGGUCCCAGGAAAGGCUUUCAGGCAUGGGAUGAGGCUGAUCUCCCAGAGUUUGUCUGGGCUCAGAAUGAGUGAUGGUUCCCCACAGACUGCAAGUAGCCAGAUGAAAAAGAGCCUGCAUAGGGUUUUUGUCCAAUAGAGUCAACUGGAGUUGUUAAGAGACCUCAGGAAGAGGCCAGAGACUUACCACCUAAUGCCCCAAAUUAAGGAAAAGAGUCACAGGAAAUCACCCGAAAGACAGAUGCUUCUUCCCAAGUACAGAGAACUGGAAGAGAAACACCCAGGAGGGCCACCUCUGCAGAGCUCACAAAGGAGAGAAAGGGAUCUGCAGGCCUAAUCAUCUGCCAGGCCACACAGUCCAGGAGCCCUCCAGUCAAGUAAGAACUUUGCUAUGCCAGUGUGCUCUCCUCUCUUCCUGAGCUUCCUCUUCUAGGAGAAAGGAGUGGGGCCCGAUACUGGAAGGUGAUGGGGAACUGAAGGACCACGCCCACUCAGGACUUUCAGGAAGAAACAGGUCUAUGGGGGGAAACCAUCAGUAGGAUUGGAGUUUGGAUCACUAGCCAGGGCAUUCCAAUUGUAAAGCACAUCUCUAGUUGUGACUUAAAGUAACUCCAGGAUUUCUAUUACUUGAGAGUGAGCAGAAAAAUCAUGGGUUUGGUAGUUUCCACCCAUGACUGGGGGAAGAUUAUUCCCCACAGAACAAAGUUUAAAGAAGCAGUAGGAGGGGGGAAAAAUAAGUUGUGUUAUGAUCACAAUCCACACAUCGUGCUUGUGCAGCACGCCAACUACAUUUGCUCGGCCAGCUGGCAUGACUUAUAACAACCGUGCUCAGAUCUCAUCCUGUUUGAAUGACAGUGAUUGAGAUGAUUGCUUUCCCUUUUGAAAAAUCCCCAAAGAGGAAAAUGCCACCCAUGUGAUUUGGAAAGAAGAACUUUAGUCAAAUACUAAGAAGAGGACCUGGGCCAGUAGCAGAGGUAGGAGCCUUUAGGAUUCACAGUUUUUUAUAUCGCCUCUCUCUUAGCUAACUUAAAUGCUCACAAAGUCACACUAAGGUAAUAAAUGAUACACAAUUCUUUUACACAGAAAAUAAGAUUCACCAAGUUUCAAAAGGAAACCAGACAUCUUUUAUCCUUUCCUGAGUCUUUCAUUACAGAUGUUGUGACAAUGGGAACCAACGAGGAAUGGAACCCCCAAAGAAGAGGGACAGAAGCUGAAGACGAUGCUCAGGAGAUGGGACCCAAGGUAACAGGUGAGGUAGGUUAUUGGACAGGGUAAGACAAAAGCAGAGAGGAAGUCGAAGAAAGAUGGCAGCUCUCAGCAACAACACAUCAGUGGAGGGGAAAAGGAAGGAGGAGUAAGAAAAAUUUCAAGGAGGACUGGUGAUGAAGCAAAGCGUGGAGGCCACCUGUCACCCAGCUAAGAGCAGCUGCAGCUGGAUGCGGACUCGCGUAGAGGAGGGACAUCCAUGGGCUGCACAAGUCUUGAGGUUGCUGCCAUCCCUGACUUUGAUCCCCUGUACUCAAGAAAGAGUGACACGGCGACGCUCUGUAACCUCAAUCCCUCCGUGAAACUGACAGCAAGAUAAGCUUCAUUACAGUAACAAAAAGACAAAUUUUUUACCUAGUCAAGUUAUUACAGCACAUUCUGAUCAGGAUAGCUUUAAAUUAUACAUGUACACUUCCUGCCAGAGGUAUUAUUUAAUAAGGCCUAAAGUAAAAUUGAAAGCAAAAGCAGAGUGAAUUUUUUGAAGUAUUUAUCUUAUGCUCCUGACUGAAGAGAGAGAUUUAGUUGUUGUUUCUCAGGUAACUAAACUUUGCUGUCGGGCUUCGUUUUUUAUGUAUUUAAUUUGCCUUUAAACCUGGAUUCUGUGCAAAGUUCCGUAACUGCUUUAAAAUAUGGGCUUUAUUAGGGACGUGCAAGCUAAGAAUGCAGUAAUAUUUUCUCCUUAUUAACUCGUCACAUGGUACCAAGGGGGAGAUGGGAACUUGGAGCCCUCAGAGACCCACAGUGGGGGGAGAUGAGACCAAGCUCCUGGGUCUUUUCAUGGCCCUGAAAAUAACUGAGGUUCUGCAAAGAAAAACAUGAUUCCUUUAUCCUCGAAAUCCUUUGGUUUUGGAGUUGAAUAGUGUAAUAUUUUACUUAAAAAUAAAUGGUCACGCUUUGUAUAAGGAUUUUCAGGGGUGUGUUUUUGCUUUCUUUCUCUCUGGUUGGUUGUUUUUUUGAGACAGAGGAUUGCUUUUAAAUUGCAUUUCAAAAGAUACUUUAAAUGGGGUUGAUAAAUGAAUGCUACAUGUCUCCCCUUUAAACACGGUGUCCACUUUUAGGAUGGUGUUAUGGUCAAUUCUUCAGGCUGACUCAAAUUCUGGAAAGUCAACCCAAGCCACCAUCCACGUGAUUUAUUACUGAAUAUUUACUGAGGAUAUGAACUUACAAUCCAGCCUGGAGCUCCUCUGCAGUCAUGGUCACUGCUCUGAGGGUGUAGCAGCUGAUCACACCUCCCCACUGAACUCUGCUGAUGGAGUGCGGGCCAUACCAUUGGGAAGAGCCAGUGGGGACCACUCCUCUCAAAAGGUGCCUGUUGCAAAGUGAGUGCUAUGUGUCUGUGGACUCCUAAGAACAAUUUACAGAUUCUCCAGAUGGCUGAAAAACAUGUGACAAAAAUGUAAAACUUCACUAUUAAAAAAUACAAGUUAAAGUAA